rnacentral:lncRNA from 1 species
CCAAAUUAAAACACAAAUCCGCGACAGGUCCCGUUUAAGGCUGAAGUGAUUUCUUUGGUAUUGUUGCAGACGCAACUUCUGAGUCAUCGGAAUCAUGUUCAGCGUGUGAGAGAGGAGCGAGGGAGACAGGUAGCUGCUGAGGAAGGGAAAUAUCAAACUCUACUGAAACAGGCAGAACUCCAGAAGCAGGAGAUUGUGUCUGAAUUCAAGCAAGCGCACCAGAUUUUGAAGCAGGGAGAGCAACUCAUGCGUAACUGCCUGGAAGGCACAAUACAGGAUCUUGGGAAGAUGAGGAAUAAAAAUACUAAGGGGCUAUUACUUCUCGAUAAUUGGAUAGCUGAACUAAAUCAGAAGUGCCAGCAGCCAGGGAUUGAACUUCUCAAGGUAAGACAGGCCAAAAAAAUUUCCAACAGUCCAUGGGAUUUAGGCUCAUAAGU